UCGCCUGGCAGAGGAGGGUGCCUCUGGUCCCAGGUCACACGGCCGACCUGGAGCUCUGGGCCCGGGGAUCCAGGGGCCUUGGGGUGGGGAAGGCUGGGCAGGAGCAGCAAUGUCUGUGCAGGUGGCAGCCCCUGGAAGCACGGGGCUGGGCCCAGAGCGCCUGAGCCCUGAGGAGCUGGUGCGGCAGACACGUCAAGUGGUACAGGGUCUGGAGGCGCUGCGGGCGGAGCACCGUGGCCUGGCAGGGCACCUGGCGGAGGCCCUGGCGGGACAAGGCCCGGUGGCUGGCUGGGAGAUGCUGGAGGAAAAGCAGCAGGUGGUGAGCCACUCGCUGGAGGCCAUCGAGCUGGGGCUGGGUGAGGCCCAGGUGCUGCUGGCCCUGUCGGCACAUAUGGGCACACUGGAGGCAGAGAAGCAGCGGCUGCGGGCGCAGGCCCGGCGGCUGGCCCAGGAGAACGUGUGGCUUCGGGAGGAACUGGAGGAGACACAGCGGCGGCUUCGGGCCAGCGAGGAGGCUGUGGCCCAGCUGGAGGAGGAGAAGAACCACCUGGAGUUCCUGGGACAACUGCGACAGUAUGACCCAUCUCCAGAAAGCCAGCAGUCUGAGUCCCCGCCUCGCCGAGACAGCUUGGCCUCCCUGUUCCCCACCGAGGAGGAGAAGAAAGGUCCAGAGGCUGCAGGAGCAGCAGCGGCUCAGCAGGGCGGCUAUGAGAUCCCCGCCCGACUUCGGACCCUGCAUAACCUUGUGAUCCAGUACGCGGGGCAGGGCCGCUAUGAGGUGGCAGUGCCUCUGUGCCGCCAGGCCUUGGAGGACCUGGAGCGCAGCUCCGGCCACUGCCACCCUGACGUGGCCACCAUGCUGAACAUCCUGGCACUGGUGUACCGGGACCAGAACAAGUACAAAGAAGCUACAGACCUUCUCCAUGAUGCCCUGCAGAUCCGGGAGCAGACGCUGGGCCCUGAGCACCCCGCGGUGGCCGCCACGCUCAACAACUUGGCUGUCCUCUAUGGGAAGCGCGGGCGUUACCGGGAGGCAGAGCCCCUGUGCCAGCGUGCUUUGGAGAUCCGAGAGAAGGUCCUAGGCGCUGACCACCCAGAUGUGGCCAAGCAGCUCAACAACCUGGCCCUGCUGUGCCAGAACCAGGGCAAGUUUGAGGACGUGGAGCGGCACUACGCCCGGGCCCUGAGCAUCUACGAGGCCCUGGGUGGGCCCCACGACCCCAAUGUGGCCAAGACCAAGAACAACCUGGCCUCAGCCUACCUGAAACAGAACAAGUACCAACAAGCAGAAGAGCUAUACAAAGAAAUCCUCCACCGAGAGGACCUGCCUGCCCCGCUCGGUGCCCCCAACACAGGCACAGUGGGUGACGCAGAACAGGCCCUCCGCCGCAGCAGCUCUCUCUCCAAGAUCCGUGAGUCUAUCCGCCGCGGAAGUGAGAAGCUGGUGUCCCGUCUCCGAGGCGAGGGGGCCGCCGGGGCAGAAUGAAGAGAGCCAUGUCACUCAACACACUGAACGUGGAUGGCCUGAGGGCUCCUGGGACUCAGUUCCCCAGCUGGCACCUGGAGAAGCUCCCUCGGAACCUCAGCGCCAGCACGCAGGACCUGAGCCCACGCUAGCGUCGAGUCAACAGCACUGGCUGCGGCUCUUCGGGAACAGUUCAGGAGGGAGGGGCUGCAGGGGUCUGUCAGCUCCUGGACUCCCCUGCCUCUGGGUACCUGAUGGAAAGCUACCGUCUCCUUCGAUUAAAGGCUGUGGAUGUCACA